GACGAACGCUGGCGGCGUGCCUAAUACAUGCAAGUCGAGCGGAAGUUGAAGAGCUUGCUCUUCAACUUUAGCGGCGGACGGGUGAGUAACACGUGGGCAACCUGCCCUGCAGAUCGGGAUAACUCCGGGAAACCGGUGCUAAUACCGAAUAGUUUUGGGUCCCUCCUGGGACCUAACGGAAAGACGGUUUCGGCUGUCACUGCAGGAUGGGCCCGCGGCGCAUUAGCUAGUUGGUGGGGUAACGGCCCACCAAGGCGACGAUGCGUAGCCGACCUGAGAGGGUGAUCGGCCACACUGGGACUGAGACACGGCCCAGACUCCUACGGGAGGCAGCAGUAGGGAACCUUCCGCAAUGGACGCAAGUCUGACGGAGCAACGCCGCGUGAGUGAUGAAGGUUUUCGGAUCGUAAAACUCUGUUGCGAGGGAAGAAACCGUGUCAAUUAACUACUGGCACCUCGACGGUACCUCGCCAGAAAGCCACGGCUAACUACGUGCCAGCCGCCGCCGUAA
rnacentral:rRNA from 1 species